rnacentral:lncRNA from 1 species
AGAAGGACCAUGAUUUCCAGCUUGGCUAACUCAUUCCCUGGACAUGAAUGUGUUCCAUUGCCAAAUGGCAUAAAUGUAUUGGGUUUUGGAACAACCUGUUCAAUCAUUGAGCAAAAGUAUGCUUUAGGUGAUUGCUACUUUCUCUCUCUCUUUUUUUUUUAAUUUAAAAAAAAAAUUGAAAACAACAAAACUCUGCAUAAGUCUACCUCAAAUCUUGAAGGAUCAAACUUUUCAGGAUCUGGGAAGAUUUCUGGGCUGUGAUGAAUGUUUCUAAAAAGUGGUAAAACUUUCCAUCCUUUUGGUAUAAGAUACCCUGUUUAAUAUUUUUCACACCAAAAAGACAAGUUAGGCUAUUUGAACCAAAAAGGCAAAGGUAGUAGCAUUAUACUCUUAACAGUUAUAUAGAUUGAAUUAUCUGUAUUGAAAUGUGGACCAAUCAAGAUUUCAAAUCAAAUGAAAUCUUUUAUCACUAAAGAGUGACUUAGUAUUUGUAUAUAUAUUGACAGAGGUUGUGGUGCAACUGACCUUCAUAUUCAACAUCAGCCACUGCUUCUCUGAAGGUAAAAGAUAAAAUCGAAGCAACCCUAAGUGUCU